AGGUUUGUUCUUUUUAAUAUUUUUGCCAUUUUUUCUUUAUUGCAUAUCCUCUUUCCACUUUCGUCAAAACUUAGUGUAUACCGGCAGUUGAAGAGUUCUUUGGAUCAAAAGAAAUGAAAUAGGAUCGACUGAAAAUUGACAAAAUUGUCUCUUUGGAAUUGAGAGUGAAACUCUGAUGAAAUUCAGUAGAGGAAGCUGAGAGCCACUGUGGAAAAAGAUGAUGAAGAUGAAGCCAUGUUUUCUUCCGCAUCUUUUCAAAAAUGCAAAAAAUAAGAACUUGUUAUAACGGGUUAAAAUACAUUGGUAGUAUGAAAUUUCAUAUAUAGUCGUGUGUACAAGGUAAAGUCGUUUUCUCAACUUAGUGCUCGUUACAAAUCUUGAUGAUACAUUCUUUAGUGAAAAAUUGACUUAUCCUUAGAGGUAAAACAAAAUUGGGCUUGAAAGUAGGACUUAAUUGGAUUUUUCAUCUUCCUCAGUACCAAAGUAAAAUUUCAAAACUAAAGGCUUAUUCAGUUUGCAAUAUGUAUAGAUAAGGUUUAUGUGCAGUUCCAUGAGGAAUGUUGGAGCAUUCCAGUUUAUGUUUACCAGUAAGUAUUUAAAUAUGUUAGAGCUAUUAACUGAUCAAGUGCACACACACUCUACAGUUGAUUGCUCGAGCUACUUUUGUUGGAUGGCUUGUGACGGAUUUCAACUGGACUGAAAUUUUAAAAGGAAGAACUAAUAAGGCACAUAUUUCCGAGCAGUAGUGAAUCUUCUUGGGUUCCGCUUACAGAAGUUCGUGAUGAUAUAGAGGAUGCUAAGCUAAAACAUAAGCUUCUUUUAUGUUGCUAUAAUAUUUUUCAAGUGAAUAUGACAACACUUGAUGAAACUAGGAUUCUUUUGGGGUAAG